rnacentral:rRNA from 1 species
UACGUAGGGUGCGAGCGUUAAUCGGAAUUACUGGGCGUAAAGGGUGCGCAGGCGGUUCUGCAAGUCAGGCGUGAAAGCCCCGGGCUUAACCUGGGAAUGGCGCUUGAAACUACAGGACUGGAGUAUGGCAGAGGGAGGUGGAAUUCCACGUGUAGCGGUGAAAUGCGUAGAGAUGUGGAGGAACACCGAUGGCGAAGGCGGCCCCCUGGUUGGAUACUGACGCUGAUACGCGAAAGCGUGGGUAUCAAACAGG